rnacentral:lncRNA from 1 species
CUAUUAACAGAACGAUCUUUCUGACCAAUCUGAUAUUUUGUACUAGAUAUUUUAAAAUUAUGCUUUGUUUUGAUAUUAUUGCUUAAUAUAUUAAAGAAUAUUUACAAUGAAUACAAGUUUUCUUGGUUAUUAUAAAACAUUUUAAGAUAAAGACCUAGAAAGACGAGUCAGUGAAGUGACACAGAAUGACCAAAUCAGUGCUCCCACCUGCUCAGUUAAAUAUUACUGCUAUUUUUCCUUUUGUAUUUGGUCACCUGAAAUAGUUGUCGAGAGGGUCUAAUGAAUCAUUAAAACCUAAAACCUUUGUAUUGAUCUAAAGUUUUUCUUCCAGAGUUAUAAAUGUGUGCCUGCAUGUUUGAAGAGAAUGGACCAAUGACCUCAAAUGUCUCCCCAGCUCUCCUGUCUGCUCCUCUUCCCAUCCUGUUUUUCAGAUUGAACUUUGCUCCAUAAACAACCUUGCCUGAUGCCAUCCCCAAGACGAGAACAACAAAAAAGCCACCUAUCAGCCAAUUUCAUUUGCAAAAUCAUGGAAAGUUUUUUGAGAGG